GCCAGUGUAGCACAGUGGUUUGAGUGUUGGACUAUGACUCUGGAGACCUGGGUUUGAUUCCCAGCUCUGCCA
rnacentral:tRNA from 1 species